UACGGAAGGGGCAAGCGUUGUUCGGAAUCAUUGGGCGUAAAGGGCGCGUAGGUGGUUCUGUAUGUCUACCGUGAAAGCGUACGGCUCAACCGUAUUUUGUCGGUGGAAACUGCAGGACUUGAGGCUGGGAGGGGCUGGUGGAAUUCCCUGUGUAGCGGUGAAAUGCGUAGAGAUGGGGGAGAACACUCGUGGCGAAGGCGGCCAGCUAGACCAGUUCUGACGCUGAGGCGCGACAGCGUGGGGAGCAAACAGG
rnacentral:rRNA from 1 species